rnacentral:rRNA from 1 species
CCUACGGGAGGCAGCAGUGAGGAAUAUUGGUCAAUGGGCGCGAGCCUGAACCAGCCAAGUAGCGUGAAGGAUGACUGCCCUACGGGUUGUAAACUUCUUUUUUAAAGGAAUAAAGUGACGCUCGUGUGCGUUUUUGUAUGUACUUUAUGUAUAAGGAUCGGCUAACUCCGUUCCAUCAGCCGCGGUAAUACGGAGGAUCCGAGCGUUGCCCGGUUUUAUUGGGUUUAAAGGGUGCGUAGGUUGUUUUUUAAGUCAGCGGUGAAAGUUUGUGGCUCAACCAUAAAAUUGCCGUUGAAACUGGAAGACUUGAGUGUGUUUGAGGUAGGCGGAAUGCGAGGUGUAGCGGUGAAAUGCAUAGAUAUAACGAAGAACUCCGAUUGCGAAGGCAGCUUACUAAGCCAUAACUGACACUGAAGCACGAAAGCGUGGGGAUCAAACAGGAUUAGAUACCAUAGUAGUC